UUGAACGCUGGCGGGAUGCCUAACACAUGCAAGUCGAGCGGGGUGUAGCAAUACACCUAGCGGCGGACGGGUGAGCAAUACAUAGGAAUCUACCUUUUAGUGGGGGAUAGCCCGGGGAAACCCGGAUUAAUACCGCAUGAUGUCGCAAGACCAAAGCGGGGGACCGGUAAGGCCUCGCGCUGAAAGAUGAGCCUAUGUCUGAUUAGCUAGUUGGCGGGGUAAAAGCCCACCAAGGCUACGAUCAGUAGCUGGUUUGAGAGAACGAUCAGCCACACCGGAACUGAGACACGGUCCGGACUCCUACGGGAGGCAGCAGUGGGGAAUAUUGGACAAUGGGCGAAAGCCUGAUCCAGCAAUUCCGCGUGUGUGAAGAAGGCCUCGGUU
rnacentral:rRNA from 1 species